CUCCUGCCUCCCUCGAUGAGAAAGCACCUCAGACCCUCUGACUCGCUCUGAUCCUGGCAAGGGGCAGGGUGGAAGAGACCAAAGGUUGCAGCUGCUAGUUUUGAAACCGACAGCCCUGGAGCAACCCAAAAGAAGAGAGAGAAGUUUUUUAAAAGGGAGAAAGGCGUGGGAUGAGGAGUCGGCUUUCGUAAAACAUUAAAAAAAAAAUAAUCUGUUCAGA